GAUGGAAUAAAAUUUUAAUUGAGAAAAAUUAGCUUAAUAGAUGGGCUAAUUGAGCAAGGACUGAAUUGUAUGACCUUUGAAAUUUAGAGGAAAAAUGGUAAUAAACAUCUUGAACUAAAACAAUAUUGGACAACAGAAGUAGACUAACUUUGAAAAAUAACCAUAAAUUGUAGAAAUCGAAUUAGAAGAUGAAUAAAAUAUGAAAUUAAAGCUUAUUGAGUCUAGUUUUUCAUAGAAGAAACGUUGUAAGCAAUGGAUUUGUAAAUUAUGAGAUAUAAUGAAUUUUGUUAGACAAGAUUAGAAUGAAUUCGGGUUCCCC
rnacentral:lncRNA from 1 species